UGUGUGUGUGUGUGUGUGUGGGUGGGGUUGCCAAGUGGUUAAUCCGCUCGCUCGUCACGCUGAAGACCUGGGUUCGAUUCCCCACAUGGGCACAAUGCGUGAAGCCCUAUUCUGGUGUCC